UUGAUUUUUUUUCAGGUAUGUAGUUCUGAUGUUAUCAUCAUCUGAUAUGUAUUUUAAUGGAAAGAAAUAGUAUUUUAAUAUUUAUUUAAAAAGCCAGUUCAGGAGGAGAAAAGAUGGCGGCGAAGUAGAGAGACGUGGAGUGCGUCCCUCUCCACAGAUGCAUUGGGAAUGCACGGAAGGACGCAGUCAUUCCCACAGAGAACCAGCUGAACACCAGCAGACGGCCUCGGACACCAGAAAGGGCUGCGGGGAGCCCGACAUAGCCGGUGGGGAAGAAAACUAAGGAGUUGAACCAGGCUGCAUGGGAAAGAAAUGAGGUUACAUGGACUUCCUAGGUGGCGCAGUGGUGAAGAGUUCGCCUGCCAAUGCAGGGGACAUGGGUUCGAGCCCUGCCCAGGGAAGAUUCCACAUGCCAUGGAGCAACUAGGCCCGUGUGCCACAACUAUUGAGCCUGUGCUCUGGAGCCCAUGAGCCACGGCUACUGAGUCCAUGUGCCACAGCUAUUGAGGCCCAUGCGCCUAGAGCCCGUGCUCCACAACAAAAGAGACCACUACAAUGAGGAGCCUGCGCACCACAAUGAAGAGUAGCCCCGACUCGCAGCAACUAGAGAAAGCCCGUGUGCAGCAACGAAGACCCAAUGU